CUUGUGGCGUGAUGUAGGGUGAGGACAGCAGCUGCCUCCCCACUGCCUUCCUGGCAACACUAGAAGUGUUCUGGGUUCAGCUGGAUCCUGAUUGCCAGCAUGGCAGGUCAAGACAGCAUUCCCAACUGCAACCUCCCUGCUCCUUCUUGGGGACAUUGUCCUUUCCUGAGCCCACCUGCCAGUGCUGAGCUCUGCAGCAGCCCUGCCAGAGGCUGGGUUCUCUGGGAAGAAGCGUAGAAGCAGAGGCCAGCUCACUAACCUGGUUUCCAGCUUAAUUUGUACAGAAAUAAACUAGCACACCCAG